UGACCCGAGCUCAUGCAGCAUUGAAGACCGGGAGUGAUGUCGCGCGUGUGCGUGCACGCGCGCGCCGGUAAAGCGCGCAGUGGGGAGGCGGGAUUGUGAAGCGGGGAGUCGGUAGCUACUAUUCGAUACAACACUACAGUGCGGGAUAACUGGAUAUCCGACUACACCGGCUUCUAUCCGACUGUGCAGUUUGACCGCGCGCGCACACACACAUAUACACACACACACACGCAAGCGCGCGCACAUACUCAUACACGCACGUUUUAUGUUACCGCACCUCUUCACCCCGCUCUUCACGCGCACGGUCGCUCCAUCCUACUCUCGCCGGUGGGCUUUUUUCUUUCUUGCACUGCAACGAUGCGGAGCGCAGCGGCUCCGUUCCAGCAUCACUGACCGCAUCAGGUUUUCUUAAAGCUCAAGACAGGCGUCCUCAGGGCUGGGGCUGCAGGGUUUUUUGGGGAAACAGGCACAAUGGCUAAUGCUGCUACAGAUCUGGACAAUGCAGAAGCCCAGCGACAACUAAACAACAACAACCGGCCCAGCAGCACAGGAUUCUGGGAAAGUGAAACCACUAGUGCUAAACUGUUUGAAUGUUCACGUAUUAAAGCACUAGCAGAUGAAAGGGAUGCAGUGCAGAAGAAAACUUUCACUAAGUGGGUGAACUCUCACCUGGCUCGCGUCUCCUGCCGCAUCUCUGACCUCUAUAAUGAUCUGAGAGAUGGGUACAUGCUCACCAGGCUGCUGGAAGUGCUUUCAGGAGAAUUACUGCCCCGACCGACAAGAGGCAGAAUGCGAAUACACUGUCUGGAGAAUGUGGACAAAGCCCUGCAGUUCCUUAAAGAACAGAGAGUUCAUCUGGAGAACGUUGGAUCUCAUGAUAUUGUUGAUGGCAACCAUCGCCUUACACUCGGUCUCAUUUGGACCAUUAUCCUUCGCUUCCAGAUCCAAGUGAUUAAAAUUGAGACAGAGGACAACAGGGAGACACGCUCGGCCAAAGAUGCGCUGUUACUGUGGUGCCAGAUGAAAACAGCAGGGUAUCCUGAAGUAAACAUUCACAACUUCACCACAUGCUGGAGAGAUGGAUUGGCAUUUAAUGCCCUUAUUCAUCGACACAGGCCUGAUUUGAUCGAAUUUCACAAGCUGACCAGAUCGAAUGCUACACACAACUUGCAGCAAGCCUUCAAUAUCGCAGAGCAGAGUCUCGGACUCACUAAACUUCUUGAUCCGGAGGAUGUGAACACUGAGAAUCCAGAUGAGAAGUCUAUUAUAACAUACGUUGUUUCCUACUACCACUACUUCUCCAAAAUGAAAGCUCUUAUAGUAGAGGGCAAAAGAAUUGGAAAGGUGUUGGAUAACGCCAUAGAAGCUGAGAAGAUUAUUCAGCGUUAUGAAGCUCUGGCCUCAGAUCUGCUUGAGUGGAUUGAAAAAACCAUUAGCAUCAUUAGCAACCAGAAGUUUGCUAACUCUCUGACAGGAGUGCAGCAACAGCUGCAGGCUUUCACAACCUACUGCACCAUUGAGAAGCCUAUAAAAUUCCAAGAGAAGGGGAACCUUGAGGUGCUGCUCUUUACCAUCCAAAGCAAACUUAGAGCCAACAACCAGAAGCCAUAUGUGCCUAAUGAUGGAAAGCUUAUUUCUGACAUCAACAAGGCAUGGGAAAGGCUAGAGAAGGCAGAGCAUGAAAGGGGUGUGGCUUUAAGGAAAGAGCUGAUUCGUCAGGAGAAACUGGAGCUACUUGCUCAGCGAUUUGAUCACAAGACCACCAUGAGGCAGGCGUGGCUUAACGAGAACCAGAGGCUUGUUUCCCAGGAUAAUUUUGGCUAUGAUCUGCCAGCAGUGGAGGCAGCAAUGAAAAAGCAUGAGGCGAUCGAGGCGGACAUUUCGUCAUAUGAGGAACGCAUGGGUGCUGUGGUGGAGCUGGCCAUGGAGAUGGAGAGUGAAGGAUAUUAUGACAUCAGACGCAUUAUGGCUAGGAAAGACAACAUUCUAAAACAAUGGGAUCUACUGAAAGAGCUUGUAACAGCUAGAAAAACACGACUGGAGAAAAACCUAGCACUGCAAAAAACCUUCCAGGAGAUGGUCUACAUGAUUGACUGGAUGGAGGAAAUGCAGAUGAAACUGCUCUCUAAAGACUUUGGGAAACACCUGCUGGAGGUGGAGGACCUCCUGCAGAAACACACGUUACAGGAGGCAGAUAUCGCUGUACAGGCAGAGCGUGUGCAAACACUUAAUGCGGCUGCACUUAAAUUCACCACCAUUGAUGGAUACCAGCCAUGUGACCCUCAGGUGAUCUGUAAUCGUGUCAGUCAUGUAAGCACUUGUCUGGAGGAACUGAAACAACUAGCAUCAAAACGACGCUCUGAGCUAGAUGAUUCUCGUGAGCUCUGGGUUUUCUUCCAAGAAGUAGAAGAGUGUGACUGCUGGAUGCGCGAGAAGAUCUCAAUUCUGAACACACAGAGCUGUGGGAAAGAUCUGAGCAGCGUUUUGAAGCUCCUGCAGAAGCACAAGAGCCUAGCUGGUGAGCUGUUAGCUCGACGUGCACUCCUCCAGCAGACUAUGAAAAAGGGGAAGCAAAUUGUCACGCAAAAACGGUUGCACUCAGCAGGGAUAAAUGACAGGCUGAUGGAGGUGAAGGAAGAUUGGAAAAGACUAGAAGAUCAAGCUGCAAUGAGACUUGGCCACCUGCAGGAGGCACUGGAUUUCUUUCAGUUUAGUGCUGAAAUGGAUGAUCAGCUAGCGUGGCUUCAAGAUGCCUACAGGCUUGUCUCCAGCGACGAUUUUGGUCAUGAUGAGUUUUCUACUCAGUCGCUGCUCAAGAAACAUAUCCGUGUACGUGAGGAGGUGGACAAGCACCGGCAAAAUGUUGUAGCACUCCGUAAACAUGCAGUAGUGUUGCCACUACAUUAUGGAGAGCUAGAGGAAGUGAAGGAAAGGAUACAGGAAGUGGAACGUGUGUAUAGUGAAGUGGCAGAGGUUGCGGUGAUGCGGCAGCAGUGGCUGAAUGAUGCUCUUGCUGUCUACCGCAUGUUCAGCGAAGUGAACGCGUGUGAGCUGUGGAUUGAUGAAAAGGAAAAAUGGCUGAACAAAAUGGACGUUCCUGAGAGACUUGAGGAUGUUGAGGUGGUUGCUCACAGGUUUGAGAGCCUGGACCAGGAGAUGAACAGCUUAAUGGGAAGGAUCCUGGAUGUAAAUCUUAUUGUUCAGCAGCUCCUGGAUGGUGCUCAUCCCAGUUCUACAGAGGUCAGAGGGUGUCAGGAUCACUUGAACAGCAGGUGGAACCAUCUGGUAGAGCUGGUUGAGCAGAAGAAGGAUCAUUUGGACUCAAUCCUUCGCAUCCAGAAUUAUUUACUUGAGUGCAGUGAGAUUAAAUCCCAAAUUCAGGAAAAACGCAAAGCCAUUGAUGCUACGCAAUAUUCAGGCAGCGAUUUGGGUAGCGUCUUAGCGCUUCAGCGGCGUUUGUCCACUAUGGAGGGAGCUCUUGCUGUUCUAGAGCCCAAACUCAUCCAUCUGCAGCAGGAAGCAGAAGACCUCACAACCACCGAGCCACAUAAUGCAGAGGAGAUCUUGAUUCCCUUUGAGGGUGUGAGUGUGGAAUGGGAUGAAUUGAAACGUACGCUUCAGGGUUGUGAGGAUUCCUUGACUGUAGCUGGCCGGCUGCAGCAGUUUAUUCAGGAUUUGGAUUCUUUCUUGACGUGGAUGGUGCAAAAACAAACGGAAGCGGCAUCAAAUGAGCUGCCCGAGUCUUUGGAUGAGGCUGAGAGGCUCAUCAACCUCCACGCAGCGCUUAACGAAGAAAUUCGCAGCUAUGAGGAGGAUUUUGAGCGGCUACAGGCUGUGAGGGAGCUGUUGGACUCAGAAGACAGUCUAGUAGCGAAUGCUGCACUGCACCAGUGGCUCCAAAAACUUAGCGCAGGUUGGAACAAGCUGCUACAGAUGUGGGAGAGCAGAAGGGAUGAGUUAGUGCAGGCACACAUCUACCAUCUUUUCAUGAAAGAUGUCAAGCAGGCUGAGGCCUUUCUCAACAACCAGGAAUCCUCAUUGGCACAUGUCGAACUCCCUACUACAGUGGAAACAGUGGAAGCAGCCAUUAAGAAACAUAAAGAUUUCAGCAUGGCGAUGGAGCUCAAUCUGCACCGGAUUAAAGCUGUGAUUGAGGCAGGAGAGAGUCUAAUCAGCCAGAACAACAUCUACUCUGAGCGCAUCCGAGACCGAGUGGAUUUACUCAUUACCAGAGGGAAUCAGAACCGUGAAGUGGCUCAGCAGUGGCUCAGAAAACUUACGGAUCAGUGGGAGCUGCAGAGAUUCUUGCAGGAGUGUCAUGAGCUGGGUGACUGGGUGAUGGAGAAGAUGCUAAUGGUACGUGACUCUACUUGUGAUGACACUCAGCAACUGCAUAAGAAGUGGCUGAAGCACCAAACAUUCAUGGCUGAACUCACACAGAACAAAGAGUGGCUCGACAAAAUUCAAGAGGAAGGUGAGCGGCUAAUGGCGGAGAAACCGGAGCUGAGUGCCACAGUUCAGCAGAAGCUUAGUGAGAUCCGUGAGUGUUGGCUAGAGCUGGAAAACUCAACGCAGACCAAAGCGCUUCAGCUGUUUGAGAACGACCGUGCGCAGCAGAUCGCUCAAAAUUACUCUCGGCUAAAUGAACGUGUGAAACAGCUGGAGCUGCAGCUAAUCCACUGUGACCACGGCCACGACCUCACCUCUGUCAACAAGCAGCUCAAAAAGCUUCAGAUGAUGGAACGACAAAUGGAGGAGUGGUGUAAUGAAGUGUGUGAUCUGCAGCUGCAGUCUUCGUCUCUCCCAGAGGAGUAUGUGAUGACAGACACGGUGUCUGAGCAUCAGGCUGAAGUGGAGGCACGGAUCAUACGUCUGAUCGAGCAUCUGAAGGAGAGACGAAGAAUCCUGCUUGCCUCCAAGGAGGUGCACCAAGUGCGCCGUGACCUGCAGGAUGAAAUUCUGUGGGUGCAAGAGCGCCUUCCACUAGCUACAUCACAGGAAACUGGGAGUAGUUUACAGGCCGUGCAGCAGCUCAUGAAGAAAAAUCAGAGUCUGCAAAGAGAGCUGGAGAGCCACCGGGGGCAUUUAGAAGAGGUGAUGGAUCGAGCGAAUAUGUUCUCAUCGGUGCGCACGACUGAGGCAGAGUGUGUGAGCGCAUUAAUGGAGGAUCUCCAAAGCCUGUGGGGGGCACUGUGGGCUGAGACCGAGCGAAAACAACUGCACUUAGACUCUAUGUAUCAAGCUCAACAGUACUACAGCGACAUUGCAGAGGUGGAGGCGUGGCUCAGUGAACAGGAGCUGCAUAUGAUGAAUGAGGAGAAAGGAAAGGAUGAACUGAGUACUCUGCAGCUGUUGAAAAAACAGUUAUCUUUGGAGCAGACGAUCGAAGAUUAUGCUGAAACUAUUGGCCUUUUAUCACAACAGUGCAGACAACUACUGGAGCUUGGCCAUCCUGACAGUGAACAGAUCAGUAAACGCCAGUCUCAAAUCGACCGGCUCUAUGUGUCUUUGAAGGACUUGGUAGAUGAGCGGAAGUGCCGGUUGGAGCAGCAGUACUGGCUCUUUCAACUCCACAGAGAGGUGGAAGAACUGGAGCAGUGGAUUGCUGAGCGCGAGAUCUCAGCCAGCUCCACCGAGCUUGGGCAGGACUAUGAACAUGUCACGGUCCUUCAGGAAAAUUUCACUGAGUUUGCCUCAGAGACAGGAAGUGUGGGUCAGGAGCGAGUGACGGCUGUUAAUCAGAUGGUGGAUGAGUUGAUUGAUUAUGGCCAUGCAGAUGCUGCCAUCAUUGCUGAGUGGAAAGACGGAGUGAAUGAAUCAUGGGCUGAACUGAUGGAGCUGAUGGAAACCAGAGCACAAAUGCUAGCUGCGUCACACCAGCUUCAUAAAUUCUUUUCCGACUGCAGAGAGGUAAUAACACAAAUAGCUGAUAAACACCGGAGAUUACCGGAAGUUAGGGAUUGCCAGGAUGGUACAACAAACACUAGCUCACUUCAGAGACUCAUGAACACAUUUGAACAGGACAUCCAGCUAUUGGUUACACAGGUGAGACAGUUACAGGAAAAUGCCGCUCAGCUCCGUACCGUUUACGCAGGAGAGAAGGCAGAAGCUAUUGCCAUGCAGGAAUAUGAAGUGAUGCAAGCAUGGAAGGAGCUGAUCAUGUCCUGCGAGGAAUGCCGUGUGCAGAUUACCACUGCAUCUGAUAAACUGCGAUUUUUCAGUGUAGUGCGUGAUCAGUUGAUAUGGAUGGACAGCAUCAUCUGUCAGAUAGGGACAGGGGAGAAACCCAGGGAUGUCUCCUCUGUCGAGGUGCUCAUGAACUACCAUCAGAGCCUGAAGAGUGAAGUUGAAGCACGAAAUAAGAGCAUGGUGCAAUGUAUUGAGAUGGGAAAGACACUGCUGGCUGCAAGAAACCCAGCAUCGGAGGAGAUUAAAGAGAAACUGGAGAAAGUUCUGUCCAAACAGAGAGAGCUGACAGAGAAAUGGGAUAAACACUGGCAGGAACUACAGCACAUGUUGGAGGUUCAUCAGUUUGCUCAGGAAGCGGCAGUGGCUGAGUCCUGGCUCUCAUCUCAGGAGGCAUUCCUGGUCAGUCAGGAACUCGGUGGCAGCGUAGAUGAAGUAGAGCAACUCAUUCACCGACACGAGGCCUUCAGGAAAGCAGCCACAGCCUGGGAAGAGAGAUUCAGCUCAUUACGCAGGCUUACUACGGUGGAGAAGAUGAAAGCAGAGCAAAGCAAGCUGCCUCCAACCCCUUUGCUCGGUCGCAAGGUAUUUCUGGACCCCCAAGAUUCAUCUCCAGCACGUAGCAGCCCUUCAUCACUUCACAAACAGACCAUUUACGAACAGGGGGACUACUGGAGUGAACGAAACAUGGCUCAGCCAUCUCCACCACCCGGACCUCGGAGAAUUGGCCCCACAGUAGCAAACUACACACCAAUUGUAAGUGCACCAGCCACGUCCCGAAUCCAGGAGGCAAGAACUACAAGUGUCCUGGGGGUCGCUGCAGGUCUUGGAAUGCCCACAGAACUUAAAAGUACUCCGACAAAACCAAUUCGCGAGACAGUGCGCCCUCAAAUAGAUGUGAAUGUAAUGGCAGAAGUAGUGCUUCAGGAGCCUGGAUGCAGUGGAGGCAGUCGCUCGGAAUUGCAGGUGGAGCAGCAACGUCCUCAUGUGAAGGACUUGCGCAUAGAACGUCAGCUUUCUAACGAACAGCUGAUUCAGGCCAGGAGAGAUGAGCUUCCACAAGAAGUAUGGAGGGAAAGGGCGGAGAGAGAGAGGAGGCUAGAGAGACAGACAUCCAGUGAACAGGAAGUGUAUGAAACUCGGAGAAGAGACCGGCAUCGGCUUGAGAGACAAGAAAGCAGCGAACAUGAGACAGCCAGAGAACCAUCAGAUAGACGAUCAGGAGGAGGAGAGAAACGGUCUACCUUAGCUGACAUUGUGGAACAGCUUCAAGAAAGAGAAGCUGCACAGGCUCGAGGAGAAAUUCCUCGCCUUCCAAACGGAUUCCCAGAGAAAUCGUCCAGGCCGGAUCGACCCCGAGCUCGAGAUCGACCAAAACCACGGAGACGGCCUCGUCCCAAAGACGGAGCACAGGGAGAAACGCGACGUUCAAGAUCCGCUCCUGCUCAAAGCAGCUCAUCUGUCCCCCAGCCACCUUCCCAUCAUGCUCAGCGUGAGGGCUUCCUCUUCCGCAAGUUAGACAUCGAGAGCCAGAAGAAAAGCUCUAACAGGUGGGGUCCUGUGGGCAUGAACAUAACGUAGCAUGUUAUUCACCUUGCUCCAGUUAUGCUAGUCAAGCCUUAGCAUGAUUACACUGUAUGCUAACACCAAGAUAGCAUCCACUAUUGCACCAGUGCUUGGUAGUUUGUCAUUUUGUUCUUAAAUGACUGCAAUCAACAAAAAAUAAAGUAAAAAAAUUACUUAAGUUUUUAGUUUAGUUUUGAAAUUUCACUCUAGCUUGAUGUAGAAGAAAAAUAUCUUACUUAACAAAAGCAAAGUGUUAUGAUUAUUAUUAUUUUCUUGCUUGCACAAAUUAGAGUUUCUGUAACUAUAUUUCCCCCCACUAACGGUUAGCACAGCUUGCAUCUUGCAUGACAUCUUGAUGCUAGCUGCUAGCAUCCUUUGGCAGAAGACCAACAGCUUUUUUAAUCCACGGCUUAUAAGGUAUGGUACAGAGUGAACACUGGCAGAUCCCUCCCUUUCAACAGCUCCCCCUACCCUGAGGCCAAGCAGCAUGUGGGCUCAUUUCAUGAACUAGCCUUAUAUACAAGUUCAAGACGGCUGCCUUUUACUUUUAUGCCUGUACACAUAAAAUGAUACACAUGCUUAGUGAGUGCUGCUUAUAGUUUUUUUUCCAUCCAGAUGUUUUACUGAUUUUCAGAAAAAGCCACUGGGCUCGCAUUAAAUUCUCAUAAAUUACCAGUCAAAUACAGAAUGUAUUGUAAGAAUGCCUAUGUGGUUAUUUGUCAGUGUCUGUAUUUAAAUAAGCUGUGUGGUGGCUCUGGUAUUUAGACUUCAAUCAAUCCUAUUACUGUUGUUAUAUGAUAUAAUUCAUUCUUCAAUUUUUAUUGUUUUACAUUCUGUACACAAUGUUGGGAUCUUAUCAAUCAAUCUUAGCCUUUAUAGGUACACUGCUCUCAGCUCUCAGGUUUGCACACACUGUCAAUGGCAAAUAUAGGGAGAAACUGCAAACCCAAUGAAACAUCAAUAAAAUAAACCCACAAUGAACACUCAAGAUUGUGAACAAUGAAAAACACUGCUAUCGUUGGAUAAACAAUGUUGGUAGUUUGGAGGGUGAUAGUUCCAAGCCUUCUGCAUGCCACAACGUUUACAUAUGGAAACUGUUUAUUUGUGUGGUUUCCAGUCAAUGUGUAAUCAGUACAAAAACACUUGGAUGGAAAAGUCCAUAGAAAACUGCUUUCUCACUGCAGCCAGUUUCACACUAGCAUUAGCAUUAUUGACUAUUUACUACUGUUAAUAACUGGCAUUAAUCAAAAUUCUUCUCUUUUUCCAUGCUUAUUCUAUGCCUCUGGCUGAUCCCCUGCCUCUCCACAAAGCAGAUCAUGGGUGAAUCUGUACUGCGUACUGAAUAAAGGUGAACUUGGUUUCUUCAAGGACUCGAAGAACACAGCAUCUACAUACAACAACGAGCCACGUCUCAGUAUGAGCAACUGCUCCUGCGACAUCAACCUU